rnacentral:rRNA from 1 species
UACAGAGGGGGCAAGCGUUGUUCGGAAUUACUGGGCGUAAAGGGCGCGUAGGCGGCCUGUUAAGUCGAACGUGAAAUCCCCGGGCUCAACCCGGGAACUGCGUCCGAUACUGGCAGGCUUGAAUCCGGGAGAGGGAUGCGGAAUUCCAGGUGUAGCGGUGAAAUGCGUAGAUAUAGGAAGGAACACCAGUGGCGAAGGCGACCACCUGGACUGAUACUGACACUGAGGUGCGAAAGCGUGGGGAGCAAACAGG